rnacentral:rRNA from 1 species
AGAGUUCUGAAAGACUCCCACCCCUGUGAACCUAUACUAUCGUAUGUUGCCUCGGCGGCCUCGCGCCGCCGGGGGGAUACCAAACUCAACCUUUGCGUACGUCUGUCAGUCUGAUAAAAACAAAACAAUAACAACUUUCAACAAUGGAUCUCUUGGCUCUGGCAUCGAUGAAGAACGCAGCGAAAUGCGAUAAGUAAUGCGAAUUGCAGAUCUCAGUGAGUCAUCGAAUCUUUGAACGCACAUUGCGCCCGCCGGUAUUCCGGCGGGCAUGCCUGUCCGAGCGUCAUUUCGACCCUCAAGCCCAGCUUGGUGUUGGGGCACCCGGGCGUCACAGCCCGGGGCCCCCAAGUCGAUCGGCGGUCUCGUCGGACCCCUAGCGCAGCAAACGCGGUAAAACGCGCCUCGUUAGGCGGAUCCCGGCGACCACCAGCCGCUAAAACCCCCAAUCUUUCAAGGUUGACCUCGGAUCAGGUAGGAAUACCCGCUGAACUUAAGCAUAUCAAUAAGCGGAGGAAAAGAAACCAACAGGGAUUGCCCCAGUAACGGCGAGUGAAGCGGCAACAGCUCAAAUUUGAAAUCUGGCCUCACGGUCCGAGUUGUAAUUUGCAGAGGAUGCUUUUGGUGACGCGCCUACCGAGUCCCCUGGAAUGGGGCGCCGCAGAGGGUGAGAGCCCCGUACGGUUUGCCGCCGAGCCUUUGUAAAGCUCCUUCGACGAGUCGAGUAGUUUGGGAAUGCUGCUCUAAAUGGGAGGUAAAUUUCUUCUAAAGCUAAAUACCGGCCAGAGACCGAUAGCGCACAAGUAGAGUGAUCGAAAGAUGAAAAGCACUUUGAAAAGAGAGUUAAAUAGCACGUGAAAUUGUUGAAAGGGAAGCGCUAGUGACCAGACUCGCGCCCGGCGGAUCAUCCGGCCUUCUGGCCGGUGCACUCCGUCGGGCUCGGGCCAGCAUCGGUUUCGGGCGGGGGACAAAGGCUUCGGGAACGUGGCUCCCCUCGGGGAGUGUUAUAGCCCGUUGCGUAAUACCCCGUCUGGGACCGAGGACCGCGCUCG